rnacentral:rRNA from 1 species
AGGGUGUAAACGCUGCAGACUUGGUGUUGGAGGCCCUUUGGGGGCAUUCAGUGCCGGAGAGAAGUUGUUAAGUCUGCUACUUGGGGAGUACGUCCGCAAGGAUGAAACUUAAAGGAAUUGGCGGGGGGAGCACCGCAACGGGAGGAGCGUGCGGUUUAAUUGGAUUCAACACCGUAAAACUCACCAGGGAAGACUGUUACAUGAAGGCCGAGAUGAAGACUCUGCUAGAUUUUUCAGAGAGGGAGGUGCAUGGCGUCAGUGACU